UUGUAUGAACAAAACCGAUGAUCCUUGUA
rnacentral:piRNA from 1 species